AGUGAACGCUGGCGGUAGGCCUAACACAUGCAAGUCGAACGGCAGCACAGUAAGAGCUUGCUCUUACGGGUGGCGAGUGGCGGACGGGUGAGGAAUACAUCGGAAUCUACUUUUUCGUGGGGGGAUACGGUGGGAAAUUUCACCUAAAUCCCCAUCCCCCCCUCCGGGUAAGGCCAGGGUCUUUUCGACCUUUGCGCUUUCAAAUGCCCAGAUGUCGGAUUAGCUAGUUGGCGGGGUAAAGGCCCACCAAGGCGACGAUCCGUAGCUGGUCUGAGAGGAUGAUCAGCCACACUGGAACUGAGACACGGUCCAGACUCCUACGGGAGGCAGCAGUGGGGAAUAUUGGACAAUGGGCGCAAGCCUGAUCCAGCCAUACCGCGUGGGUGAAGAAGGCCUUCGGGUUGUAAAGCCCUUUUGUUGGGAAAGAAAAGCAGCAGGUUAAUACCCCGCUGUUCUGACGGUACCCAAAGAAUAAGCACCGGCUAACUUCGUG
rnacentral:rRNA from 1 species